UACGAAGGGGGCUAGCGUUGCUCGGAAUCACUGGGCGUAAAGGGUGCGUAGGCGGGUCUUUAAGUCAGGGGUGAAAUCCUGGAGCUCAACUCUAGAACUGCCUUUGAUACUGAGGAUCUUGAGUUCGGGAGAGGUGAGUGGAACUGCGAGUGUAGAGGUGAAAUUCGUAGAUAUUCGCAAGAACACCAGUGGCGAAGGCGGCUCACUGGCCCGAUACUGACGCUGAGGCACGAAAGCGUGGGGAGCAAACAGG
rnacentral:rRNA from 1 species